rnacentral:rRNA from 1 species
GACGAACGCUGGCGGCGUGCUUAACACAUGCAAGUCGAACGGUGAAGCGCCUUCCUCUUUGGUGGGUGUGGAUGAGUGGCGAACGGGGGAGUAACACGUGAGUAACCUGCCCCUUCCUUCUGGAUAACCGCAUGAAAGUGUGGCUAAUACGGGAUAUUCCGGGUCUGUCGCAUGAUGGGUCUGUGGAAGAUAUUGUUUCGGUGGGGGCUGGGAUCGCGGCCUAUCAGCUUGUGGGUGGGGGGAUGGCCUAACAAGGCGGUGACGGGUAGCCGGCCUGAGAGGGUGGACGGCAAUAGUGGGGAUGCGACGCCGCGAAGCCUCCGACGGGAGGCAGCAGGGGAGAAUAGAGCACAAUGGGCGCAAGGCUGAAGCAGCGACGCGGCGGGAGGGAUGGAGUCCGUCGGGUAGUGAACCUCUUUCGCCAGAGAAGCAGGCCUGCCUCGUUUGUGGGUGGGUUGACGGUAGCUGGAUAAGAAGCGCCGGCUAACUACGUG